UACGUAGGGUCCGAGCGUUUGUCCGGAAUUACUGGGCGUAAAGAGCUCGUAGGCGGUGUGUCGCGUCGGCCGUGAAAACCUGCAGCUUAACUGUGGGCUUGCGGUCGAUACGGGCAUCACUGGAGUUCGGCAGGGGAGACUGGAAUUCCUGGUGUAGCGGUGAAAUGCGCAGAUAUCAGGAGGAACACCGGUGGCGAAGGCGGGUCUCUGGGCCAUAACUGACGCUGAGGAGCGAAAGCAUGGGGGAGCGAACAGG
rnacentral:rRNA from 1 species